GCCGAGUAUGACCGUCAAGGACAUUAAUUCAAUUGUAAUUUUUCACGACACCAUAAAGUGGUGGUCGUAAAACAUCACUUUUCACUAUAGAUUUUUCAUAUUAGGUUUUUUCCGUGCUUAGUAAUAAAAGAAAUCACUUAUAGAAUGCAGGGAAGGACCGCUGAGGGUUGAUUCCUUACUCUUUGUGACAUAUGGUUGCGUAGAAUGGGAUUUUCGCAAGCCGUAUGUCACUGUCACUCAGCAGGGAAGACCAGGAUGCAAACGGGGGGUCGGCCCUAAUCCACAGCUUGUCGAGCAAUAGAAGAUUAAUACCUUCAGUUCUUUGUGCCUGUACGUCGCACAAUCGAGGGGCACUUACAAUACCCCGCGGAGGCAUUACCUUAUUGUUAUUGAUUUUCAAACGUAUAUUAUAAAUAUACUAACCGCUGCCCUAUAGGUGGUCAGACUUUGUAAACUUAGUAGGUAUCUUCCCGUUUAUAAAUGUGGUAAAUUUAUAAAUCAUUAAGUGUAGAAUGUAAGUAUAUAGUAACAUGCUCUUGAAAUAAAAAGAAAAAGUGACAAAUGAAA